AGAUAUAGGAAGAUGUUGUGUGAGUGCCAAUGAGACAACUCUCCGUCCAAAUAACAAUUUAAAAAAAGUAAACCAUUAUAGGUCAAUGUACGGCCUUCAACACGGAGCCUUGGCUCACACCGAACAACAAGCUAUAAAGGGCCCCAAAAUUACUAGUGUAAAACGAGAAAACCAACGGUCUAAUCUAUAUAAAAUAAAAAAAACGAGAAACGAGAAACGCGUAUAAAUUACAUAAACAAACGACAACUACUGUACAUCAGAUUCCUGACUUAGGACAGGUGCAAACAUUUGCAGGCAUUAUUUACUUUUCAUAAACUUUUUUUUAUAACUUUCAUGGGUGGGUAUUUAGCUAGCCAGAUAUUAUAUUCAGAACGUGAACAUGCUUAAUGAGAAAUGUAUACUACGAUGAAAUAAAUUGAAUAUAAAAAAAAAGAAGAUGUGGUACUAUGAUUGCCAACGAGACUCUCCACAAGAGACCAAACGACACAGAAAAUAACUAUAGAGGUCAAUGUACUGCCUUCAACAAUGGGCAAAUCCC
rnacentral:lncRNA from 1 species